rnacentral:rRNA from 1 species
UACAGAGGUCUCAAGCGUUGUUCGGAUUCAUUGGGCGUAAAGCGCUUUAAGGCGGUUCGCUAAGUCGGGUGUGAAACCUCCAGGCUCAACCUGGAGACGCCACUCGAUACUGGCGUGACUAGAGUUCGGUAGGGGACCACGGAAUUCCUGGUGUAGCGGUGAAAUGCGCAGAUAUCAGGAGGAACACCAGUGGCGAAGGCGGUGGUCUGGGCCGAUACUGACGCUGUAGAGCGAAAGCGUGGGGAGCGAACAGG